AAAAGAUUAUAUAAUACAUUUCUCUGCUAGAUCAGCAUCUUCUCACAAUUGCUGAGAGCCAAGUCCUUUUUUACAAUUAAUCACAGAAUAUUUAGGCUCAGCUGUGUCAUGAGAAAUUAAGCCAACCUCAAAGGGCUGCUUCUGUGUCAUCCAGGAAGAAAGUUUUCAGCACUUUCAAUCAAUAAGACAACAGAAAUGGAAGCUGUGUCACAACACGGAAUGAGGCACAUGACAGAAUGAAUACAGGAGUUCCAAGUACACAUCAUGAAAAUGGCAUGCAAAGGGAGAGGAUCACCCAGGAUUUAGAGGAUAAAGGGGAUGAUUUGGGGGAGACACUCAGCACAGCACCUCCACCACCACACCCAGAGCAGCUCCAAAGCAAAGCAACCUAUUAAUGCAUCUCCUGGAGAUCGUGCCUGCCUGAACCUGAAGGCUAAAGAGACACUCUGACUGAUUUCCUUUCUGUGCAACAAUGGAAUAUCCUGCAAUAUCCUUCUCAUUCCAUACCCAGUGGGAAAAUGCUUAAUGUCUACUCUGUACAAGGGGCUCUGUGGGAGCAACCAGCCACUAAAAUCUCCAUCUCUUGAUAUCAUGACGAAUCUUAGACUCACAGAUGUGUCCUCACAUAGUUGAUUAACUUUAAUGAUGGAUGGGUCGUCCCAAGACAAAUCCAGGUGGUAAAUCCUCCUGAUUGCUAGGUGGUUGGGGAGCUUUCUGGCUUACAGGAAGGGAGAAGACCAAGAUACAGGUCCUCAACUAGGUCCACAACAGUGUUGGCAAGAUAUGUGGAGGGAGCUUGGUAUUUUCGGGGACCCCCAAGAGUUG
rnacentral:lncRNA from 1 species